CAGACACUAGGAAAAGUGCACAUCUUGAAGUAGCUUGUAUCUGCUCAAUGAUUUUAACCCCGCCCUCCACCCAAAAACACACUUUACAAAGUGCAGUUUGUUUGCAAUGUAUCCUUCCACUGUAAGAAGUAGCUCCCAAUAAUGAAAAAAUAGUGAACCGUUAUAUACACCUUUUCUCUACUGUCCUAAAUUACAGGUGACAUUUUGGAGAAUUAGGAAUAUUUAAAUUUCAUUACUUCCAUUCAUGCCCCUGAAGCUUUUUCCAUACUCUUUGUCAAUGAAGUUAGCAAAGGUGAUUUGUGAGAAGUUAUCCAUCUUUGGAUACAAUUUGUUUGAGAGCUUAAGGGCAUUUUCUGCUCCUUCAGUUUUACUUCAUAUCUUUAUGAUUUUUGCAGUAUAAGCAAACUAUCGAGAACUGGAUGAUGAUUACUGCCUUCAGGUGAUUAAACAAAGUGCUCCUUGUGAAAAUCCUUCAGUUAUGAUUGAAAAAGUGUGCUCUUUCAGAAGACCUUUACUACAAGAAAUGUUUGGGUAAAAUACAACCAAAACAAAGCUUUCCAUUCAAACUCAAAAGGCUGUUUGAGCUCGUCCUCCACUUUUACUUUUUGAGGAACACUUCCUGAUUAGUUAUCAGAAAAUUAAAUUACAUCCAAAGCAUUAGAUUUUACUGUAUUCUCAUUAACAUAGUUUCACCCUCUACCAAAAAAAGGACAGUGAGCUAUAUGGGUUUUCACAGUACUUCCAUUCCUCAGGCAGC